AAGGGAAAACUUCAAAACUUCCAUGUGGUUUCAUAUUGUUUUUUUUAUGUUAGUACUAUGUGGUUAAAAUUAUAUCAAGUUAUUUAUGGUUUGCACUUUCUCACUUUAGUACCUUAUGGUUUAAAGUAUUUCAAGUUAGUACUAUGUGGUUUCAUUUUUAUAUCAAGUUAGGAACGUGUGGUUUUAUUUUUCUCUUUUGGAAAAACUUCAAAAACCCCCCUUGUUUCGUAGUUUCUCACUUUGCCCCCCCGUGGUUUAAAAAUGUAUCAAAUUGCCCCCUGUUGUUUCAUUUUUAUCAUUUCGGUAGUUUUUUCGUUAAUAUUUCAUUAAAUUAUAUAUAAAAAACUUCAAAUACCUAUCUAGAUUUAUCAAAUAUUCACUUUAGUACCCUUUAAUUUUAAUUUUAUCACUGAUUUAAGAAAAAAAAAUAAUAAAAUUGAUAAGAAAAAGAGAAAAAAGAAACCACAGGGAAGCAAAUUGAUACAUUUUAAACCACGGGGGGGCAAAGUGAGAAACUACAAAACCACAGGGGGUUUUUAAAGUUUUCCCUUCUCUUUUUAUUGUUUAUUUCGGAAUAUUUUUUUUUGUUAAAAGAGUGAUAAAGUUAAAACUAAAGGAUUUUAAAAUGAAUAUUCAAUAAAUCUAGAUAAGAUAUCUGAAAUUUUUUGUAUAUAAUUAACAAAAUAUUAAAUCACAAGGUAUUAAAGUAAGAAAGUGCGAAAACCACAUGGUACUAAUUUGAUACACUUUAAACUAUAUGGUAUUAAAAUAAGUACGAAACCAUAAGGUACUAACUUGAUACACUUUAAACCACAUGAUACUAAAAUAAAAAAGUGCGAAACAACAUGAGGGUAUUUGAAGUUUUUCCUAAAUUAAAUAACAAUUUUUUUC
rnacentral:lncRNA from 1 species